rnacentral:rRNA from 1 species
UGGAUCCAGACUUUGAUCCUGGCUCAGGAUGAACGCUAGCUACAGGCUUAACACAUGCAAGUCGAGGAGAAACGAUAUUGGAAGCUUGCUUCCGAUAGGCGUCGACCGGCGCACGGGUGAGUAACGCGUAUCCAACCUGCCCACCACUUGGGGAUAACCUUGCGAAAGUAAGACUAAUACCCAAUGAUAUCUCAAGAAGACAUCUGAAUGAGAUUAAAGAUUUAUCGGUGAUGGAUGGGGAUGCGUCUGAUUAGCUUGUUGGCGGGGUAACGGCCCACCAAGGCGACGAUCAGUAGGGGUUCUGAGAGGAAGGUCCCCCACAUUGGAACUGAGACACGGUCCAAACUCCUACGGGAGGCAGCAGUGAGGAAUAUUGGUCAAUGGACGAGAGUCUGAACCAGCCAAGUAGCGUGCAGGAUGACGGCCCUAUGGGUUGUAAACUGCUUUUAUAAGGGAAUAAAGUGAGCCUCGUGAGGCUUUUUGCAUGUACCUUAUGAAUAAGGACCGGCUAAUUCCGUGCCAGCAGCCGCGGUAAUACGGAAGGUCCGGGCGUUAUCCGGAUUUAUUGGGUUUAAAGGGAGCGUAGGCCGGAGAUUAAGCGUGUUGUGAAAUGUAGAUGCUCAACAUCUGCACUGCAGCGCGAACUGGUUUCCUUGAGUACGCACAAAGUGGGCGGAAUUCGUAGUGUAGCGGUGAAAAUGCUUAGAUAUCACGAAGAACUCCGAUUGCG